UAUUGUCAUUUCAAAACUUACCAAGUUCUUUUGUUAUCGCUUCCUUUCAAGUCCAUAAAAGCAGCUUUGUUACUGCACUUGAAUGCUUAUUAUUUUGUAAAAGUAUCCAGCUGAAGUACAAACUCCCUAAUACUUCUGAGUUGAAGAGGAAAUUAUCAUUAAGUCCUAAGGUAGUGACCUUUCCUAUACUAGAAGUUUGAGGAGCAAACGAGUAUUUCAUAGCUUCUAUGGAAAUCUUGGUUUGUCUUACAAGUUGUGAUCAAAGAAUCUCAAGAUGAUUCACCUUGAAUUUUGGUCUUUUUGGAUGAAACGUAAUUCAUUAGUUAAUUCUUCAUUGGAAAUUAUUCCCCUUAUCCAACUUCAAAUAAUUCUGAAAUGUUAUUGGUUCUGUUGUUGAUGAUGCUCUUCAAGUAGAGUUUACUUUGGGUCAUCUCUGACCUACUGGUUCCUUCUACAAUCAACUGUUGGUGAUGCUCUUCAACUAGAGUUUACCAACACUUUGAGUCAUCUCUUGCACUCUGGUGAUGGUUAUGCUUUGCUCAAUGCCAUUCUUCGACCAAAAUGAUAACUUUAUCAUGAUUCUCAGUUGUAUGAAAAUGUAAAAUCUCCUCCUUCUAGAAGAAGAAGUUGUGCUCUACAGGGUAGUAGUUCUGGACAAUCUACUUCUACGAACGUUUUUGGAGUACUUUCAUGUGAUACCUCAUUAGUGGAGCAACUAAGGAGAGGGGGUUAUAAAAGAAUGAAAGGAAUGUUCGAUCUGGCUCUUGUUCUCCCCAGGUUUAUAGCACGCUAGGCUAGCUAAGAAAGGAUUCAAGUGAGUGGCUUCUUAAUGGAGUGAGAGCCAAAAAGGACUACAAGAUCUUUGACUGAGAGAUUAAAUGUGAGUGCAUGUCAAUGUCACACUUACCAGUACAUGUUUGUUUGGCAUCUGAACUCCUAUAUCUUGCAAUGUACUGUGAGUUUGGGUAGAGGAAGAAAACCUGAAUGGCUACCAACCGAUUAUCAGACUUUCAUGCAGGGCGUGCUAAUUUAAUUUGAAACAGGGAAGUCUUGAACCGGAAAGAAUCAAAAUUGAUAAGUAUGUCCCCAAAUUCCAAAUACAGGAGGCAAUUCAUUAGAAGAGUGUUGAGCACCAAAUACCAUUUGUAGUUGUUUUGUCAAAUUAACUCAGGUGGACAUCGGUUCUAUUUUUGGUCCGAUGGAGAGGAUACAAUGCAAAGACAAUCCAGCUAACAAAUGUAUGAUUCUAUUAGAAGACCACCUAUUAGGGAAUGGCCUAUAGUGCGCCUUCAUAGCGGUAUUGCUUUAGUAAGCAUUAUUUGGAUUCAUAACAGGUUUAUCUUGCUACCGUACUAUAACAAAUUUGUUCAAAGACAGAUAAAAGAAUGCGUCAGCUACAUACUAGGUGCUGGCACGAGCUA